UACAAAGCCCCCGCCCCCUUCUACAAAAUCCCUGCAGCCCCACACACACUUUUACAGGCAGACAGUCACACACUCAGUUACAGACAGUCACACACUCAGUUACAGGCAGACAGUCACAUACAGUCACAGGCAGACAGUCACACAUACACAUUUCCUCCGUGCGGCCAGUUUAUCAGCUGUUUGCUUGUGUGAGCUGUACUGGCCGCACGGCACCCUAACUACCAUGGGACACUGUGCGGCCACAGCUCACACAGCCCCCUCCAGCCAGGGCCGGUGCAAGGAUUUUUGCC
rnacentral:lncRNA from 1 species